GAUGAACGCUGGCGGCGUGCCUAAUACAUGCAAGUCGAGCGAACAGAUGAGGAGCUUGCUCCUUUGACGUUAGCGGCGGACGGGUGAGUAACACGUGGGUAACCUACCUAUAAGACUGGAAUAACUCCGGGAAACCGGGGCUAAUACCGGAUAACAUUUAGAACCGCAUGGUUCUAUAGUGAAAGAUGGUUUUGCUAUCACUUAUAGAUGGACCCGCGCCGUAUUAGCUAGUUGGUAAGGUAACGGCUUACCAAGGCAACGAUACGUAGCCGACCUGAGAGGGUGAUCGGCCACACUGGAACUGAGACACGGUCCAGACUCCUACGGGAGGCAGCAGUAGGGAAUCUUCCGCAAUGGGCGAAAGCCUGACGGAGCAACGCCGCGUGAGUGAUGAAGGUCUUCGGAUCGUAAAACUCUGUUAUUAGGGAAGAACAAAUGUGUAAGUAACUGUGCACGUCUUGACGGUACCUAAUCAGAAAGCCACGGCUAACUACGUG
rnacentral:rRNA from 1 species